GUCCUAUUGUUGGUUAAUAUUAGGUCUGGCCUGCCCACUGAUUUAGUAGAUUAAAGGGCCGCAGUAUACUGACUGUGCAAAGGUAGCAUAAUCAAUUGUCUUUUAAUUGAAGGCUGGUAUGAAUGGUUGGAUGAAAUGCAUGCUUUCUUUAUUUAAUGUUAUUGAAUUUAAUUUUUAAGUUAAAAAGCUUAAAUUUUGUUGAAGGACGAGAAGACCCUAUAGAAUUUUAUCUAACUUGGUUUUAGUAUUUAAAGGUUGAUUUUAUGUGAAUUGAGUUGGAUUUUGUUGGGGUGAUGGGGAAAUUUAUAUAACUUUCUUUUUAUAAAUAUUAUUUGUGAGUAUAUUUAAAGAUCUUUAUUUUAGGAUAAUAAGAUUAAAUUACCUUAGGGAUAACAGCGUUAUUUUUCUGGAGAGUUCUUAUUGAUAGAAGAGUUUGCGACCUCGAUGUUGGAUUAAAAUUAAUACUAAAUGCAGUAGUUUGGUUAUUAGGUCUGUUCGACCUUUGAAUUUUUACA
rnacentral:rRNA from 1 species